UCCUAAUUGUCUGGGCACGCCUGACUUUGCGGCAGACGGGGGCUGAGGUUGUGGUGAGGAGCCGGGAUGUGCCUUUCAGCUCUGCCUCCCUUUGGAGCUGAGAAAAAUCAAUGGAAAACCCUUCCAAACGCCCGGAGAGCUCCCUUAUCUCCCGAUCAACCUCAAACAAAACCCCGUUGCCUCGUCAAGGACAGGAGCUCCUCUGGAGCGGGUUAAAAAUUCAACCUCUCCUUCUAGAUGGAUAAAAUUCCUGUGGUUUAGAGCAGAAAGAGCCGCACUUGGCCCGGCUGUGGGGUGGAAACGCCCUUUGGGAAAAGCAUUUUGGGGAAGGGAAGGUCCUCAUCCCCCGUGCCCGCGCUCCCGAGGGGCUGUUGGGCUUUUCCCGUCAGUUGGAUGUUUGGAGCUCAAGCCCGGAGCUUCUCCCAUCCUCGUCCUCCCUCCCAACCCCACGGGGAGACACAGCCCCCCCUAAACACCCCAAAAUCAGCUGCGAGCCGUGCUUAGGCAGGCGUGGAGCAGCUUCCAGCCGGGAGAGAUUAGAAGUUACUGAAUAACCCGAGUCCUCCGGCAGCCCCGGGGGCUGUGGCCGGUGCCAGGUGCGCCGUGCCCGGCGGGCAUUCCAUUCCAUUCCAUUCCAUUCCAUUCCAUUCCAUUCCAUUCCGGUCACCCCAAAACCAGCCCUGGCGAGCCGCGGGGGUGGGGUGUGCUGGCUGGAGCGAUGAGCAGGGUGGGUCCCGGGCACGAGCUGGCGAGGGGACAAGGGCACCGCCGGACCCGCCGAGUGGCGAUGCCACCGUGGGAAGGGCGGCGGGCAGCGCGCAGCCGGCUGGGCACGGCUCACGCAGCCCUCCCGCAGCUCCAGCGCCGGCUGAGCCCUAUUCCAGCGCCUCCUUCCCUGGCUCCGGCCAGCCCUGCCUCUGGACGAGCCAUGGCCUCGGACAAAGUGGCGGUGUGUUAACACCGCUCCAAUUUGUCACGCCGGAGUCACUGGUGUAAUUCCAAGCCUCUCAGAAAAUUGAUGGUGGCGGAAUUGAGGUUUUACAGAUGGGCCAAGCCCUAAUAAGAACAUCAGUUUAAGAUGGGGUGAGCGGCAGAAUUGACGCUUUUAUCUAAAUUCUGUUGGAGCCACACACCGCAGGCACCGGGAAA
rnacentral:lncRNA from 12 species